GUUUCAGAGUUGAUUUAUUCCGUGUUAGCUGUAUGUUUGCUGAGCGGAUCAAGCGGUAAGAAAACAAAAGCGGAAUCCCUGCGAGAUCAGUAAAUGAUGUGUAGAAGGAAGCAGCCAACCGUGAUAUGCAGCUGAAUAUGAUACAUUUACAAAACGCACACUGGCUUUAAUCACGUUAUAUCCAAGCAUUCUUGUGUGCCGAAAGCGAGAUGGCUACAAAUAUUUGAAGGAAAGAAACGGACUUAAUAAAAUAACACUUUAAAAAUUCCCUCGCCACGAACGGACUACUGACCCCAGCACUCGCAGACACAAAACACAUGUACUGGACGCACGCAGCUACUGUGGGUCUGAGGCUUUGAUUAUUCGCCAAGUGAGAAUACGGUGGAAGGUCUAAAGGAUGCUCUACAUUUAAGAUGAAAGAUGCAUUGUAACAAAAUCCACACAACAGCCACCUGCUGAUUUCCCUGCCUUUCUUACAACGGACCAAGGAGCUUCAAGGCAUAACCAAUUUAAAAAGUUAAAUGUCAACAAAGCUGAAUUCAGAAGAGUGACAGCCAUCUGAGGCCUUAUUCUUUGCCUUGAAGAGAGGCAGGAAGAUUUGAUCUAAGUCUAUUGGGCAAGAUAAGGCUAAAACAGUUCACUUUAAUGUUCAAUUUUCCACAGGCUUCAGCCUAACUGAUCUGAACUAAAUUAAAUUGACCACUCAUCUAUCAGGAGCAACGCAUUAUAGAGGAAGAAGGGUCAAUUAAGUUUAGAUGUUGAUGCUGAUGGCAAAACAGCCAUACAAGAAGACCUCAACAACUGAAUUCUUAACAUUUUUGUCAUCAGCAAAGUCAGUGGUGACAGCAGCAACUAUAAUGUUGGGAUCAUCAUUGAAGGAGUUUAAGUGCUUUUUGAUAUCCCUAGUGUGGCACAUGCAUGUGUCUAUCUAAUGGGCCACAUUUAUACCUUGGAACUAAGCUACCCCAGAAAACUUAAACACACAUUUCAGUUUUUCCAAAGGGCCUUGCUAGAGAUGGAUGAUGCAAACAAAAAGUUGACUUUCAAUACUCAUGAGCUCUUUGUUUACUAGUGUGACAGAAGUCUGACGAAGGAUAUUUAAAUUGCUCUAUUUUCAGGAUUGAUCUCCAUUAUGAAAUGAAAGACAUUUCUAGUGUGCUUUUUGGAAAAAGAGUUUGAAAGUACAGUUCACUAAAUUUUUGAUGUAUUGUCUCUCUUUGUACAUUUUUAUGUGUCCUUGGCUUUCUGUUUCUCUAUGCCAUCAUUUUUUCUUUCAGUACUCUUUUUUGUGUGUGUCUUGCUCAUUGUUUUAAUUUGUGUUUUCAUAAAUAAAAAAAUCAUAAUGUCACUUGUAAAAUCAUUCAAUUUGAAAAAUGUUGCACUCUUUGUGCAUUCUUGAAAGGAUUCAAAUAUAAGUAUGAUAUACUCUAGUCUCAUCAUGUCAGCUUUUUCUGUCCACCUUGUCUCUGACUGUCUCUUUGACUUCCUCACAUUUUGAUUGUUUUCUUUUCUUCUCUCUCUCUCUAAAAUGUAAAUACUUUUGUUUCAAAUGCCACAGUUAUAGCCUGCAGUACUUUUUCUAGUAGAGUGUCAGGAUAAAAAAUAUAUUGCGUAUUUCAUUUUAACUAUAUGAAGCUUUACUAAUGUUGUUUACUAUUCAUGUAUUUUAUUCAAAGUUACAGAUAUUUCUCAUGUCUUGUUCUAAAGUAUAUGCUACAGUGUAAUAGACGUUUUUCCACUUACAAAAGGGUACUUAAAGCCAAACACUAUAUGACCCUUUCCUUGAGGGUCAAGGAAACAAAUGAUGUGGCCCUGAU